GAUGAAGAACGUAGCGAAAUGCGAUAAGUAAUGCGAAUUGCAGAAUUCCGUGAGUCAUCGAAUCUUUGAACGCACAUUGCGCCCUCUGGUAUUCCGGAGGGCAUGCCUGCCUGAGCGUCAUUGUCAACCCUCAAGCUCAGCUUGCUGUUGGGUCCCCGUCGUUGCUUUAACGGCGGACCCGAAAGGUAAUGGCAGAGUCCGUGAGACCCUAGACGCAGCGAGCUUCUAGCACGCGUCUGGACGUUUUUCGGGCUCGGUCUUAACUAGAUGAUAACUUCCGAUUGACCUCAGAUCAGGUAGGGAUACCCGCUGAACUUAAGCAUAUCAAUAAGCGGAGGA
rnacentral:misc_RNA from 1 species